rnacentral:rRNA from 1 species
GAUGAACGCUGGCGGCGCGCUUAACACAUGCAAGUCGAACGAUGAAAGCGGGAGCUUGCUCCUGCUGGAUUAGUGGCGAACGGGUGAGUAACACGUGAGCAAUCUGCCCCGAACUCUGGGAUAAGCGUUGGAAACGACGUCUAAUACCGGAUACGACGCGCGAAGGCAUCUUCUGCGCGUGGAAAGAACUUCGGUUCGGGAUGAGCUCGCGGCCGAUCAGCUAGUUGGUGAGGUAACGGCCCACCAAGGCGACGACGGGUAGCCGGCCUGAGAGGGCGACCGGCCACACUGGGACUGAGACACGGCCCAGACUCCUACGGGAGGCAGCAGUGGGGAAUAUUGCACAAUGGGCGCAAGCCUGAUGCAGCAACGCCGCGUGAGGGACGACGGCCUUCGGGUUGUAAACCUCUUUUAGUAGGGAAGAAGCGAAAGUGACGGUACCUGCAGAAAAAGCACCGGCUAACUACGUGCCAGCCGCCGCUGUAAAAC